UGUGCACCAGGGGGGUUCCUCGGCCUGGCCUGCACCCUCUCACAAUGCAGGACCGCUCGGGGGAUGCCGGAGUGCCAGUUUCGGCCUGAUCCCGCAGGCCAGGCCGAGGGACCCCACUGGUGCACG
rnacentral:pre_miRNA from 1 species